AUUGAACGCUGGCGGAAUGCUUUACACAUGCAAGUCGAGCGGCAGCGCGGGGGCAACCCUGGCGGCGAGCGGCGAACGGGUGAGUAAUACAUCGGAACGUGUCCUUAAGUGGGGGAUAGCUCGGCGAAAGCCGGAUUAAUACCGCAUAAGCUCUGAGGAGGAAAGCGGGGCUCCGUAAGGACCUCGCGCUGUUGGAGCGGCCGAUGUCGGAUUAGCUAGGUUGGGUAGGGGUAAACGGCCCACCAAGGCGACGAUCCGUAGCUGGUCUGAGAGGAUGAUCAGCCACACUGGAACUGAGA
rnacentral:rRNA from 1 species